GUCCACACCGUAAACGAUGGAUACUAGGUGUCCGGGACUUCGGUCCUGGGUGCCCAAGGGAAACCGAUAAGUAUCCCACCUGGGGAGUACGUCCGCAAGGAUGAAACUCAAAGGAAUUGACGGGGGCCCGCACAAGCGGUGGAGCAUGUGGUUUAAUUCGAUGAUACGCGAGGAACCUUACCUGGGCUAGAAUGCCCCCUGACAGGCCGUGAAAGCGGUUUUUCCUUCGGGACAGGGUGCAAGGUGCUGCAUGGUUGUCGU
rnacentral:rRNA from 1 species